CGGAAUGAGUAGCGCGAAUGCAGUGAGAAUCUGCAUGGCCGAAAGCCUCAGGUUUUUGGAGGAAGGUUCGUCCGCUCCAAGUUAGUCGGGAGCUAAGGUGAGGCCGGAAGGCGUAGCCGAUGCACAGACGGUAGAGAUUCCGUCACCACCAAAAGAGUUAAGCACAGGGACACAUUUGAAGUCUCAGAGCCGGGUGUUGGUUCCGGUAGAGAUCGAGGGAAAUUAGUACCGAAGUCUGAGAUGGAAGAUGGCGAGAAAAGCUGUGUGUAUUUCUGAGGUGCCCGUACCGCAAACCGACACAGGUAGGUAGGAAGAAGAUUCUAAGGCCAACGGGAGAAGGGUUGUUAAGGAACUCGGCAAAUUGACCCCGUAACUUCGGGAGAAGGGGUGCUCCAGAGAUGGAGCCGCAGAGAAUCGGCCCAAGCAACUGUUUACCAAAAACACAGGUUUGUGCUAAAUCGAAAGAUGACGUAUACGAGCUGACGCCUGCCCGGUGCUGGAAGGUUAAGAGGAGAUGUGCAAGCAUUGAAUCGAAGCCCCAGUGAACGGCGGCCGUAACUAUAACGGUCCUAAGGUAGCGAAAUUCCUUGUCAGGUAAGUUCUGACCCGCAUGAAAGGCGUAAUGAUUUGGGCACUGUCUCAACAGCCCGCCCGGCGAAAUUGUAGUACCGGUGAAGAUGCCGGUUACCCGCGACAAGACGGAAAGACCCCAUGGAGCUUUACUGUAGCCUAAUAUUGGGUUUCGAUGUUGCAUGCACAGGAUAGAUGGGACACUGGGAAACAAUCGCUUUGGCGGUUGCGGAGUGGCCGUUGGGAUACCAUCCUUGCGAUAUUGGAAUUCUAACCUGCGGCUCUGAAUCGAGUCGGGGGACAUUGUUAGGUGGGCAGUUUGACUGGGGCGGUCGCCUCCUAAAAAGUAACGGAGGCGUUCAAAGGUUCGCUCAGCUUGAACGGAAAUCAAGCAAAAGAGUGCAAACGCAGAAGCGAGCCUAACUGCGAGACUGACGGGUCGAGCAGUAACGAAAGUUGGAGUUAGUGAUCCGGUGGUAUGUGAGUGGAAAUGCCAUCGCUCAACGGAUAAAAGUUACCCUGGGGAUAACAGGCUGAUCUCCCCCAAGAGUCCACAUCGACGGGGAGGUUUGGCACCUCGAUGUCGGCUCAUCGCAUCCUGGGGCUGUAUUCGGUCCCAAGGGUUUGGCUGUUCGCCAAUUAAAGCGGUACGCGAGCUGGGUUCAGAACGUCGUGAGACAGUUCGGUCCCUAUCUGUCGUGGGC
rnacentral:rRNA from 1 species